CGUGCAGGUGGUCUUUUAAGUUUCGUGUGAAAGCCCUCGGCUUAACCGAGGAACGGCACGGAAAACUGGAGGACUUGAGUACGGGAGAAGAGGGCGGAAUUCCCAGUGUAGAGGUGAAAUUCGUAGAUAUUGGGAGGAACACCGGCGGCGAAAGCGGCUCUCUAGACCGAUACUGACACUCAUACGCGAGAGCGUGGGUAGCAAACA
rnacentral:rRNA from 1 species